AUUAGGAGCUGGAAUGAAAGAGGCGACGAAAUCUAGACUAUUUAAGUUUUAGUAUAAAUUGACAAGCGGGUCAAAAGGCCCGCAUGCACCAGGGGGACGAUAAGACCCUAUAAAACUUUACUCUCAGGCCGGUGGCUAGCAGGAAGUGGGGUGUUUGAGAGUUUAACUGGGGCGGUUAUUAUAGAAACAAUUAUACAUAAAAUAUAUUAUAUAGAUUGGUAGAACUCUCUAGAGAAAUAGAACAAGUUACUUUAGGGAUAACAGCGUGAUCCCCCCAGAGAGUCCUGAUUGGCGGGGGGGCUUACGACCUCGAUGUUGAAUUGGGAAUUCCUAUAUAAGCAAACAUAUAUAUAGACAGUCUGUUCGACUAUUAAACUCCC
rnacentral:rRNA from 1 species